rnacentral:tRNA from 1 species
UCGGGGGUCGUCUAGCGGUAGGACACAUCCCUUUGGAGGAUGGUACCGGGGUUCGAAUCCCUGCCCCCGAG